CCCUUAGAUGUUCUGGGCCGCACGCGCGCUACACUGACAGAGCCAACGAGUUCUUCACCUUGGCCGGAAGGUCUGGGUAAUCUUGUUAAACUCUGUCGUGCUGGGGAUAGAGCAUUGCAAUUAUUGCUCUUCAACGAGGAAUGCCUAGUAAGCGUGUGUCAUCAGCACGCGUUGAUUACGUCCCUGCCCUUUGUACACACCGCCCGUCGCUACUACCGAUUGAAUGGCUCAGUGAGGCCUUCGGACUGGCUCAGGGAGGUUGGCAACGACCACCCCGAGCCGGAAAGUUCGUCAAACUCGGUCAUUUAGAGGAAGUAAAAGUCGUAACA
rnacentral:rRNA from 1 species